ensembl:lncRNA
CUCUAUAGAAUUUUAUGGCAAUGUACAAAACUUUACAGAGAAAAGUGCUGUUCACACUAUCCUCCCCUCCAGAAGCAUCUGGUCUCAUUGAUCCAGUCGGGUGGCAGAAUGAAAGCGAGCAGCGCAUCUCUCCUGCCGAUUACCUCCAUCUCUCCAACUGUGCCAAAGUGACUGAAAGAGGGAAGAGUCAUCUGCCUCCCGCGGUCUGCCAACACACAGACCACCAUGGGAAGUGAGGGAGCGAAAAAGAAAGAGGAAGAAAAAGAUAACUGGAGAGAUUGGACAGUCGGGAGCUUUUGAAGAGAAGAAAGACCGAAUUCUGCCCCAAGAACAGCGAUAACGGACAUGGGGUCCCACUGGGGGAUGGGCCGGAGGGGU